rnacentral:tRNA from 1 species
GCCCGGGUGGUGGAAUGGUAGACACAGGGGACUUAAAAUCCCUUGCCCGUAACGGGCGUGUGGGUUCGACUCCCACUCUGGGCA